UACGUAGGGUGCAAGCGUUGUCCGGAAUUAUUGGGCGUAAAGGGCUCGUAGGCGGUUUGUCGCGUCGGGAGUGAAAACUCAGGGCUUAACCCUGAGCCUGCUUCCGAUACGGGCAGACUAGAGGUAUGCAGGGGAGAACGGAAUUCCUGGUGUAGCGGUGAAAUGCGCAGAUAUCAGGAGGAACACCGGUGGCGAAGGCGGGUCUCUGGGCCGAUACUGACGCUGAGGAGCGAAAGCGUGGGGAGCGAACAGG
rnacentral:rRNA from 1 species